rnacentral:tRNA from 1 species
ACAUAGCUCAGCUGGAUAGAGCACACGCCUUCUAAGCGUGCGGUCGUAGGUUCGAAUCCUACUGUG